rnacentral:rRNA from 1 species
CGGAGGAUCCAAGCGUUAUCCGGAAUCAUUGGGUUUAAAGGGUCCGUAGGCGGGUUUAUAAGUCAGUGGUGAAAGCCCAUCGCUCAACGAUGGAACGGCCAUUGAUACUGUAGAUCUUGAAUUAUUAGGAAGUAACUAGAAUAUGUAGUGUAGCGGUGAAAUGCUUAGAGAUUACAUGGAAUACCAAUUGCGAAGGCAGGUUACUACUAAUGGAUUGACGCUGAUGGACGAAAGCGUGGGUAGCGAACAGGAUUAGAUACCCUGGUAGUCCACGCCGUAAACGAUGGAUACUAGCUGUUCGGAGCAAUCUGAGUGGCUAAGCGAAAGUGAUAAGUAUCCCACUGGGGAUACGUUCGCAAGAAUG